UGAAAAACGUUGAAAGGGACGAGUACAAUGUCGUAAACGUGCGAAGCGAUUCAGGGAUGGUGAGAGCCUGAAGACGUUCACAUUGGAAAAUCACCCUUGAGUUUUGCACUGAAAUGAAAAAAGUAGGAUGCAACGAGUGAUUCCCGUUACGAAUAUCAAGUGGAAAGUGAUAAACUUUUCAUUAGGGUGGUACCACGGGUUAGCUUCUCGUCCCUUUU
rnacentral:ncRNA from 1 species